rnacentral:rRNA from 1 species
UACGAAGGGGGCUAGCGUUGUUCGGAUUUACUGGGCGUAAAGCGCACGUAGGCGGAUUGUUAGGUCGGGGGUGAAAUCCUGGAGCUCAACUCCAGAACUGCCUUCGAUACUGGCAAUCUCGAGUCCGGAAGAGGUAAGUGGAACUCCUAGUGUAGAGGUGGAAUUCGUAGAUAUUAGGAAGAACACCAGUGGCGAAGGCGGCUUACUGGUCCGGUACUGACGCUGAGGUGCGAAAGCGUGGGGAGCAAACAGG